CGGUUGAUCCUGCCGGACCUCACUGCUAUCGGGGUGAGAAUAAGCCAUGCAAGUUGUGCGCCCCCUAAGCCUUGGGGACCGCAGCUCACGCCUCAGUAAUACGUAGUUAACCUGCCCUUAGGACGAGGAUAACCCCGGGAAACUGGGGCUAAUACUCGAUAGGUGGGAGCGCCUGGAAUGGUCUCCCACCGAAAAGGUGUUGAGAUCAUGCUUCUCAAAACCGCCUAAGGAUGGAACUGCGGCCGAUCAGGUUGUUGGUAGGGUAACGGCCUACCAAGCCUAUGACCGGUACGGGCCCUGAGAGGGGUAGCCCGGAGAUGGGAACUGAGACAAGGUCCCAAGCCCUACGGGGCGCAGCAGGCGCGAAAACUCCACAAUACGCGAAAAGCGUGAUGGGGUCACCCCGAGUGCCGUCCGAAGAGGAUGGCUUUUCCUCGGUGUAAAGAACCGGGGUAAUAAGAGGGGGGCAAGACUGGUGUCAGCCGCCGCGGUAAUACCAGCCCCUCGAGUAGUGAGGAUGAUUACUAGGCCUAAAGCGUCCGUAGCCGGCUUGGUGAGUUCUUCGUGAAAUCCGACGACUUAAUCGUCGGGGCGCGAAGGAGACUACCAAGCUAGGGGGCGGGAGAAGUCGACGGUAUUCCUGGGGUAGGGGUGAAAUCCUAUAAUCCCAGGAGGACCACCAGUGGCGAAGGCGGUCGACUAGAACGCGCCCGACGGUGAUGGACGAAAGCUGGGGGAGCGAACCGGAUUAGAUACCCGGGUAGUCCCAGCUGUAAACGAUGCGAGCUAGGUGUUGGGGCAGCUACGUGCUGCCCCAGUGCCGCAGGGAAGCCCUUAAGCUCGCCGCCUGGGAAGUACGGCCGCAAGGCUGAAACUUAAAGGAAUUGGCGGGGGAGCAC
rnacentral:rRNA from 1 species